GAUGAACCCUGGCGGCGUGCCUAAUACAUGCAAGUCGAGCGAACAGACGAGGAGCUUGCUCCUCUGACGUUAGCGGCGGACGGGUGAGUAACACGUGGAUAACCUACCUAUAAGACUGGGAUAACUUCGGGAAACCGGAGCUAAUACCGGAUAACAUGUUGAACCGCAUGGUUCAACAGUGAAAGACGGUCUUGCUGUCACUUAUAGAUGGAUCCGCGCCGCAUUAGCUAGUUGGUAAGGUAACGGCUUACCAAGGCAACGAUGCGUAGCCGACCUGAGAGGGUGAUCGGCCACACUGGAACUGAGACACGGUCCAGACUCCUACGGGAGGCAGCAGUAGGGAAUCUUCCGCAAUGGGCGAAAGCCUGACGGAGCAACGCCGCGUGAGUGAUGAAGGUCUUCGGAUCGUAAAACUCUGUUAUUAGGGAAGAACAAAUGUGUAAGUAACUAUGCACGUCUUGACGGUACCUAAUCAGAAAGCCACGGCUAACUACGUG
rnacentral:rRNA from 1 species